UCCUUCUACAAAAGGGAAUGUGCCUGUGUC
rnacentral:piRNA from 1 species